CCUACGGGAGGCAGCAGUGAGGAAUAUUGGUCAAUGGACGAGAGUCUGAACCAGCCAAGUAGCGUGAAGGAUGACUGCCCUAUGGGUUGUAAACUUCUUUUAUAUGGGAAUAAAAUGUUCCACGUGUGGGACUUUGUAUGUACCAUAUGAAUAAGGAUCGGCUAACUCCGUGCCAGCAGCCGCGGUAAUACGGAGGAUCCGAGCGUUAUCCGGAUUUAUUGGGUUUAAAGGGAGCGUAGGUGGAUUGUUAAGUCAGUUGUGAAAGUUUGCGGCUCAACCGUAAAAUUGCAGUUGAUACUGGCAGUCUUGAGUGCAGUAGGGGUGGGCGGAAUUCGUGGUGUAGCGGUGAAAUGCUUAGAUAUCACGAAGAACUCCGAUUGCGAAGGCAGCUCACUGGACUGCAACUGACGCUGAGGCUCGAAAGUGUGGGUAUCAAACAGGAUUAGAUACCCUAGUAGUC
rnacentral:rRNA from 1 species